rnacentral:rRNA from 1 species
GACGAACGCUGGCGGCGUGCUUAACACAUGCAAGUCGAACGGAAAGGCCCUGCUUUUGUGGGGUGCUCGAGUGGCGAACGGGUGAGUAACACGUGAGUCACCUGCCCUUGACUUUGGGAUAACUUCAGGAAACUGGGGCUACUACCGGAUAUGAGCUCCUGCUGCAUGGUGGGGGUUGGAAAGUUUCGGCGGUUGGGGAUGGACUCGCGGCUUAUCAGCUUGUUGGUGGGGUAGUGGCUUACCAAGGCUUUGACGGGUAGCCGGCCUGAGAGGGUGACCGGCCACAUUGGGACUGAGAUACGGCCCAGACGCCUACGGGAGGCAGCAGUGGGGAAUAUUGCACAAUGGGCGGAAGCCUGAUGCAGCAACGCCGCGUGCGGGAUGACGGCCUUCGGGUGGUAAACCGCUUUCGCCUGUGACGAAGCGGGAGUGACGGUAAUGGGUAAAGAAGCACCGGCUAACUACGUG